UACGGAGGGUGCAAGCGUUAUCCGGAUUCACUGGGUUUAAAGGGUGCGUAGGAGGGCAGGUAAGUCAGUGGUAAAAUCUCCGAGCUUAACUUGGAAACUGCCGUUGAUACUAUCUGUCUUGAAUAUUGUGGAGGUGAGCGGAAUAUGUCAUGUAGCGGUGAAAUGCUUAGAUAUGACAUAGAACACCAAUUGCGAAGGCAGCUCGCUACACAUAUAUUGACUCUGAGGCACGAAAGCGUGGGGAGCAAACAGG
rnacentral:rRNA from 1 species